GUGGGGAAUAUUGGACAAUGGGCGAAAGCCUGAUCCAGCCAUGCCGCGUGUGUGAAGAAGGUCUUCGGAUUGUAAAGCACUUUAAGUUGGGAGGAAGGGCAGUAAGUUAAUACCUUGCUGUUUUGACGUUACCGACAGAAUAAGCACCGGCUAACUUCGUGCCAGCAGCCGCGGUAAUACGAAGGGUGCAAGCGUUAAUCGGAAUUACUGGGCGUAAAGCGCGCGUAGGUGGUUUUGUAAGUUGGAGGUGAAAUCCCCGGGCUCAACCUGGGAACAGCCUCCAAAACUGCAUGACUAGAGUACGGUAGAGGGUAGUGGAAUUUCCUGUGUAGCGGUGAAAUGCGUAGAUAUAGGAAGGAACACCAGUGGCGAAGGCGACUACCUGGACUGAUACUGACACUGAGGUGCGAAAGCGUGGGGAGCAAACAGGAUUAGAAACCCCGGUAGUCC
rnacentral:rRNA from 1 species